rnacentral:rRNA from 1 species
GAUGAACGCUAGCGGCAGGCCUAACACAUGCAAGUCGAGGGAGAGGUUACCUUCGGGUAAUCAAAACCGGCGCACGGGUGCGUAACGCGUAUACAAUCUGCCUUUCACAUAGGGAUAGCCCGAAGAAAUUUGGAUUAAUACCUAAUGGUAUAUAAGAGCGGCAUCGUUUUUAUAUUAAAGCUACGGUGGUGAAAGAUGAGUAUGCGUUCUAUUAGCUAGUUGGAGAGGUAACGGCUCCCCAAGGCGACGAUAGAUAGGGGUUCUGAGAGGGAUGUCCCCCACACUGGUACUGAGAUACGGACCAGACUCCUACGGGAGGCAGCAGUGAGGAAUAUUGGACAAUGGUCGGAAGACUGAUCCAGCCAUGCCGCGUGCAGGAUGAAGGUCCUAUGGAUUGUAAACUGCUUUUGUAAGGGAAGAAUAAGGGGUACGUGUACUUUGAUGACGGUACCUUACGAAUAAGCAUCGGCUAACUCCGUGCCAGCAGCCGCGGUAAUACGGAGGAUGCGAGCGUUAUCCGGAAUCAUUGGGUUUAAAGGGUCCGUAGGCGGGCUGAUAAGUCAGAGGUGAAAGCGCUUAGCUCAACUAAGCAACUGCCUUUGAAACUGUCAGUCUUGAAUGAUUGUGAAGUAGUUGGAAUGUGUAGUGUAGCGGUGAAAUGCUUAGAUAUUACACAGAACACCGAUAGCGAAGGCAUAUUACUAACAAUUUAUUGACGCUGAUGGACGAAAGCGUGGGGAGCGAACAGG